UUCCUGUAUACUCGGAAGUAAGACUGGGU
rnacentral:piRNA from 1 species